rnacentral:misc_RNA from 1 species
GAUUUGAGUAGGCAAGUUCUCCUGCAAAUGCAGAGUAGUUGUGAAAAAAGACUGACUUGGUUAAUUGUCAUCUGCCUUCUCAAAACCUUGUUAACAUGUCCAACAGAUAUUAACUACUGCUACAAGAAAACUCAGAUCAUUAUGAACUCACAGUAACUUGGGCAACAAGGGUAAGGAAUAGAAAGAAGUACCUAAAUCACAUCCCAAAUAUCAAGUUUAUUCAGGAAAAUAAAGCUAUCAAACGUCUACUUGCCUACUAGGAGACCUUGCUGCUGAAACUGCUCCAGCAAUUGAUGUUAACUCAAGUUUUAUGCAGUUGGUAUGAAUUGGAUUUCCAAAGUGUUUAAGGUGGAAAAUGAAAAUUUAAGGUGAACAGUGAAGGGAGAACAGGAGCAAAUGGAUCUAAAUCAGAUAUUUGCAGGCAAGAUAAGGGUCAUAAUGACAUUAUAAGAUAGAAGUCCAAAAAUUUAAAUACCACUCCUAAACAAAUAAAAUAACCUGGUCUAUCAAGGAUACUCCAGCGUCCAGACUCAGUGCAGUGAUGGAACAUGAAGAAAUAGCCUUGAUGCACAGUGAACUACAUCAGAAUUAUUAUGGCCAAGUUAUUCCAAUGGCAUGGAUGCUUCUGCAACAUGGGAAUGCAUCCAUGCCAUGGGAAUCACAUUAAUAUUUCUGCUAAACACUGAUUGUGGAUCUUGAAAGUGGCUACUAGUAGAAAAUGGAAAUAAUAAGAAAACAAAAUGUUUGUCUCCUAUGUGCAUCAUAAACUAGCAAAGGUACACAAUGCUGUUAAAGUAUGAAAAUAUUAGAACCACUUGUACCAAGUUCAAUUGAGCCACUAGUCCCCAAACAAUAAUCCAAGUUCUAUUAUUUCCCAACCUUCAAUAAUUUUUCAAUUCCCUCUGAAUUUGAACAUGAUGUGAACAAUGUUGUUGCAUUAAAAAAAUUGCUUGCGCAAAUAACCCGCUGACAAACUAUACUUGCCUUAGGCAUUACAGUGACUUGCUCCUCAAUGACAUACUCCAUCUCCAUCUCCAUGUGCAGAAGUAGGAACAUUCUGAACACACUUUUUACCUUAAAAGGGGAAUGUUCUACCCACCUCAAGAUUGCUAUAAAGUCAAUCUGUGUCUUGGAGAUCAAAUGAUUGAAACAGCGCCUUCACUGCUACAUAAACAGCAAAAAAGAAUAUACUCAUUUAUUAACAGAGAAACUAGAUGCUACGCAAGACAGCUAAAUACACAUUUUAUAGAAACUCACUUAUUAAGACAACAAAAUUAGUAAAACAUUAAGUUAGCAGUGGAUGGAAAAAAAAACCCUAGAUAAAUCCAGCAAAUUAUCCCCAGAGAUAUGGCAAGCAUACACUUCUAAUCACUAAAUGCUCAGAAUAGCCAUUUUAUUUCCAUAUGAAGGAAAAGUAAUUACAAAAAUUGCAAGAUACAGCCACAAUGUUUUCACCUGAGGGAAGAACCAAGACAACAAUGUGAAUUCUUAGCUAGGGAGGAAUAAAAGAAAAACAACAGAAGGUUGCUAAGGAAAAAAAUACAUAUGAAUUGAGUACACGUAUGCCCUCUAGUUAGAUUCAGAACCAACACCAAGUGAGACUUCUAGAAAAUCAUAAGCAGGUUUGGACUUUUCAGAGCUUCAACAUUUUUUAUGCUGAAAGCCAACCCUUGUCCCCUAAAUGUCAACAGAGACUACAAAUCAUCAGUACUAGAGACAGCAACAUUAAACCCACAAUGUAUAGAAUCACAAAAAGGAAAUUCAAUACAAUCAAAUCAGGGAAAGAAGCAUAAUUACCAAGAGAAAAAGGAUUCAUGAAGGAGAAGAAACACCAACUCUCAUGAUGAUCCUAGUCAUCUUCACUCCAAUCAAGGUGACAUUCUCAGCACCAACAAAUUUGGACCCCCUAAACAGUCUAACAAUCUCACCCACCUCUUCUUCUCCACACUCAUCCACAACUAUCACACACACCCCUCCUCUCCUCACCGUCCUCUCCAUCUCCCCAGCAAACCUCAAUGGAAAAAGUGCCUCCACCAAACGCGCACUGAAAGCCAAAUCAAACAUCCCAUCGAAAAAAGGCAAAUUAUUGGGGUCAGCCCUUCUAACAAGUGGCAAAGAAUCCACCAACUCAACACCAGUAACAUCGCUGACACCCAUAUUAUUCAGCGCCAUAACUUCGUGGCCAGCACCGGCGGAGACACAGAGGACUCUGGAGUGGUUAUGCAAGAGAUUGAGGUGUUGGAGCUGUGAAAAGAAAGCGGUGAAGGAGGAUAGCUGAGAGAGCCAGGACUUGGAGGACCAAAGGCGCUGGUUUUUCUUGGCGAGAGAGAGGUAGGGGUGAUUCAGAGAAGGAUCGCAGGUGGAGGAGGGGAAUUUGACGUGGGGUUUUGUGAUUGGGGCGUUUGGUGGAAUGCAAGUUUCUGGGGUUUGGAGAUAAAGGAGGAGAAGAGUGAUUGUGGCUAUGGAUGCACAAGCUAUGGAGAUUUUGUUCAGGAAAUUCUGUAUGUGAUUUCCCAUUGAUUUCCUGUUCUCAUUUUCUCUGCGAUAACAAAUCAAUGGGAAAUCACAUAC